rnacentral:rRNA from 1 species
GACGAACGCUGGCGGCGUGCUUAACACAUGCAAGUCGAACGGAAAGGCCCUGCUUUUGUGGGGUGCUCGAGUGGCGAACGGGUGAGUAACACGUGAGUAACCUGCCCUUGACUUUGGGAUAACUUCAGGAAACUGGGGCUAAUACCGGAUAGGAGCUCCUGCUGCAUGGUGGGGGUUGGAAAGUUUCGGCGGUUGGGGAUGGACUCGCGGCUUAUCAGCUUGUUGGUGGGGUAGUGGCUUACCAAGGCUCUGACGGGUAGCCGGCCUGAGAGGGUGACCGGCCACAUUGGGACUGAGAUACGGCCCAGACUCCUACGUGCGGCAGCAGUGGGGAAUAUUGCACAAUGGGCGGAAGCCUGAUGCAGCAACGCCGCGUGCGGGAUGACGGCCUUCGGGUUGUAAACCGCUUUCGCCUGUGACGAAGCGUGAGUGACGGUAAUGGGUAAAGAAGCACCGGCUAACUACGUG